CAGUCGCCACGGGAAUACGUAGGUGGCAAGCGUUGUCCGGAAUUAUUGGGCGUAAAGGGCUCGCAGGCGGUUUCUUAAGUCUGAUGUGAAAGCCCCCGGCUCAACCGGGGAGGGUCAUUGGAAACUGGGAAACUUGAGUGCAGAAGGGGAGAGUGGAAUUCCACGUGUAGCGGUGAAAUGCGUAGAGAUGUGGAGGAACACCAGUGGCGAAGGCGACUCUCUGGUCUGUAACUGACGCUGAGGAGCGAAAGCGUGGGGAGCGAACAGGAUUAGAUACCCCAGUAGUCCCUGUCUCUUAUAC
rnacentral:rRNA from 1 species